rnacentral:rRNA from 1 species
CCUACGGUAGGCUGCAGUGGGGAAUAUUGGACAAUGGGGGGAACCCUGAUCCAGCCAUGCCGCGUGUGUGAAGAAGGCCCUCGGGUUGUAAAGCACUUUCAGUGAGGAAGAACGCCUGGUGGUUAAUACCCAUCAGGAAAGACAUCACUCACAGAAGAAGCACCGGCUAACUCCGUGCCAGCAGCCGCGGUAAUACGGAGGGUGCGAGCGUUAAUCGGAAUUACUGGGCGUAAAGCGCGCGUAGGUGGCUUGAUAAGCCGGUUGUGAAAGCCCCGGGCUCAACCUGGGAACGGCAUCCGGAACUGUCAAGCUAGAGUGCAGGAGAGGAAGGUAGAAUUCCCGGUGUAGCGGUGAAAUGCGUAGAGAUCGGGAGGAAUACCAGUGGCGAAGGCGGCCUUCUGGACUGACACUGACACUGAGGUGCGAAAGCGUGGGUAGCAAACAGGAUUAGAUACCCGUGUAGUC